UACGUAGGGCGCAAGCGUUGUCCGGAAUUAUUGGGCGUAAAGAGCUCGUAGGCGGCCUGUUGCGUCCGCUGUGAAAUCCCGGGGCUCAACCCCGGGCCUGCAGUGGAUACGGGCUGGCUAGAGGCAGGCAGGGGAGAACGGAAUUCCUGGUGUAGCGGUGAAAUGCGCAGAUAUCAGGAGGAACACCGGUGGCGAAGGCGGUCUGCUGGGCCAAGACUGACGCUGAGGCGCGACAGCGUGGGGAGCAAACAGG
rnacentral:rRNA from 1 species